rnacentral:rRNA from 1 species
ACGCUCGACACCUACUGGAGGCAGCAGUGGGGAAUAUUGCACAAUGGGGGAAACCCUGAUGCAGCGACGCCGCGUGAAGGAAGAAGUAUCUCGGUAUGUAAACUUCUAUCAGCAGGGAAGAAAAUGACGGUACCUGACUAAGAAGCCCCGGCUAACUACGUACCAGCAGCCGCGGUAAUCUGAGCGGGCUGGCAAGGC